rnacentral:rRNA from 1 species
UACGAGGGGGGCGAGCGUUGUUCGGAAUCACUGGGCGUAAAGCGUGCGUAGGCGGUUAUAAAAGUUAGGAGUGAAAGCCCCAGGCUCAACUUGGGAAUUGCUCUUAAUACUGUAUAACUCGAAUCUCGGAGAGGAUAGCGGAAUUGUCAGUGUAGCAGUGAAAUGCGUAGAUAUUGACAGGAACACCAGUGGCGUAAGCGGCUAUCUGGACGAGUAUUGACGCUGAGGCACGAAAGCGUGGGGAUCAAACAGG